GACGAACGCUGGCGGCGUGCUUAACACAUGCAAGUCGAACGGAAAGGCCCUGCUUUUGUGGGGUGCUUGAGUGGCGAACGGGUGAGUAACACGUGAGUAACCUGCCCUUGACUUUGGGAUAACUUCAGGAAACUGGGGCUAAUACCGGAUAGGAGCUCCUGCUGCAUGGUGGGGGUUGGAAAGUUUCGGCGGUUGGGGAUGGACUCGCGGCUUAUCAGCUUGUUGGCGGGGUAGUGGCUUACCAAGGCUUUGACGGGUAGCCGGCCUGAGAGGGUGACCGGCCACAUUGGGACUGAGAUACGGCCCAGACUCCUACGGGAGGCAGCAGUGGGGAAUAUUGCACAAUGGGCGGAAGCCUGAUGCAGCAACGCCGCGUGCGGGAUGACGGCCUUCGGGUUGUAAACCGCUUUCGCCUGUGACGAAGCGUGAGUGACGGUAAUGGGUAAAGAAGCACCGGCUAACUACGUG
rnacentral:rRNA from 1 species